GUAAUAAACUGAGUUCGUCCUCUGAUAAGAUCAUGUAGUAAACAUGUCCCACUCUUCAGCACACGAGCGCUUUACACACGAGACUGUUUGGGAACACGAAUGUUUAUGGCUUAUCUAUGCACUAACAUUAAUAAUUUCGAGUACGCACACACACACACACACACACACACACACACACACACGUCUUUCAUGUCCCGCCCACUUCUUCAAAGUUAUCUAGACUACGCCACUGAGAAAGACCCAUUUCUGAACGCUGUGAACCAAAGAUUUCUGUCUUAUUUAUCGGUCAGUUUUAGAAAACAGGAUGUCUCACACUGUCAUACCCAUGAACUCUUCAACACUCGUCAUUCAGCUGCAACCAGCUCCUGGGACGACGGAGACAAAUGCUCCUGGACCUGUUUAUGCACAAAAGAUGACGGUAGCUUCACCUCUUCAAGGACUUCAGGCAUUUCUGAAAGCGCAACCGAAGGCCCUUGGGACGGUCGAGAUAAUGAUCGGUGUGAUGACUUUCCUGUUAGGCAUUGUGGCUACAGUUUCCGAAUCUUCUAUCUUUGUCUAUACUGGUGUUACUUACUGGGGAUCUCUCAUCUACAUUGCUGCAGGCUCACUCUGCAUUGCUGCAGAAAACAAAAUUAAGUCUCCCCCCAAUUUGUGUUUGGUGAAUGCUUCACUGGGAAUGAACGUUUGCAGUACGAUAUCUGCAGGCAUUGCCAUUGUUGCAAUUUCACUAGAUUUUGUUAUAUUUCACCGAUCAAAUUAUGAGACUCUCUUCAUGGGAAUCAAAGGUGUAUUAAUGUUAUUCGCCGCGUUCGAGUUUAUCAUCUCCAUCUGUCUGUCAGCAUUUGCCUGUAAAGCAAACACCUACGGUUAUUCUACUCUGGCAGUGUGGGCAACACCAGCAGAUGACAUUGCGCCCCAAAUCAUUGCUUAACACUGAAGUUCAAGCAAUGUGGGCUAUGAGCUUCUCCACCAUCCCUCCAGAGUCUAGGACCUUGGAUUCCACAUGAAACAUAAAACUUGCUCUCAUCUGAAAAGAGGACUUUGGACCACUAGACAACAGUCCAGUUCUUCUCCUUAGCCCAGAUACCUGUGACAAGCAGCUCUUCCAUUCAUCACCAGCCUGCAGACACUCCUCCACAAUACAGUGAACCCAAACAAAUAUGAAUACGUGGGCUGUUACCUGUUAUGAGAGAAAAUAUAUGGGAAUGUAUUAGAACAGUGGUUUCCAAACCUGUCCUGGAGGAUCCCCUGCCCUGAACCUUUUGUAUGUGUCCUUCAUCUAAUCAGUCCCUCCAGAAUUUCGCUGAACUUUCUUCUGAUUUUUUCAGCCUAAAAUUUUGCUGCAGCUUUUCUUAAAAUUUGUGUUUCUAAGAUGUUUCCUAUCAGAUGUCAAAUAGACAUUUAUUAGAACGCAUGUAAAACUGCUUCUGAGACGUUUAAUCAGAGUACACAGCAGAUGAUUCCCAAAGCUUUAGCAGACGUCUUACAGAUUAAAUAAAUGUACUACAUCUGAUUAAAUUAACUUUUAUUACUGUAAUAUAUAAUGUCUAAAUAUAAUUUAAUGAAUACAAAUAUAUAUAUAUUUUAGGAAGUGGAAAUGGCCUAUAAGUACUUUUCUGCAGCCAUCUACUAGUGGUAAUUUAAUAUCUUUUUUAUUUUUAAUUAAUUGUUUGCUUUCCUACAUCUUGAAACUUUUAGUUUUAUACAUGGGGGAACCAUGAAGAAUAAACAUAUAUCUUCACAUGAAAAUUUGGUAAUACUUAAAGCUUUGAAGUGCUGGGAAAAGUUGUGUGAAGCAUUUAAAAUCACUCGAAAACAUUAGAUAAUUUCUGCCACAAGUUGUCCCUGUAGUUUACUGUUAAAUCAAUGGUGAACGGUGAUGAUCUGUGUUUAUUGAACAAUGUUUUUCCUGGUUUCCACAUCAGUGGCAUUUGUUCUGAUAUCUGUAACUUUAACAGAAUUCUGCGCUGAAUUUGAAUGCUUCUCACAUGAUUAGACAGAGAUGUUGAUUCUGUGGGGAUUUCUACUGCUUUCUUCACUCUAUCUCCCGGCGCUGUGUAUAUCAGUGUCACGUGAUCAAGAUCAGCCCGCGACUCCAGCUCGAGCAGAUAAACGGUCUGCGCUGUGUAGCUCAAACUAGUAGCACAGAUUCGUUCCAAUUUUGGUUUGUUUAUCCAAUGUAACUCCUGUACAUCAGUCAUAAUGAGAACUCAAGGCUGUUCAUUCCAUUUUUUAAAAUGAAAAACAACCCUUCUUUGAAUGAAUGCACAUUGCGAUGUCGUCAAGGGACGCAAUGAAAUGUAAGUUUGCUUGAUUUUGCAACAAAUUCAGCAGUCACGAAAUCCUGGAGGGACUGUCUUAACACACCUGAUUCCACCCAUCAGUUCAAUAGUAGAGACUGCGAGAACUAAAUUGGGUGUGUCUGAUUAGGGAGACAUACAAAGGUGCAGGUCCUCCAGGACAGGUUUGGGAACCACUGUAUUAGAAAAUAUAAUGCUGUUCAAAUAUAAUAUGAACACAAACUUUUCUCUCGCUUUAUUGUUUGCAUAGUUACACAUUUCAUAUAUGAAAAUAUUUGUGAUGUAUAAAAGAAACUGUACUGAAAAGAUAAAUAAAAGUUUUGGACUUUUAGAUGAUCAGAUGUUUGGUUAAAAUCAUGGCAACAUUAUGUGUGUGCACAUACACAGAGUAUGAUUUUAUCACAUAUAUAUCUAGAUAUUGCAAAGAAUGUUAUUGAGUACAUACCUUACAAUGUAUUAAGUAAUCAACAAUACAUUUUUCAGUGUAUUUUCAAUAUACAUUAAACAAUUUAAUAUAUU